CUCCCGGCGGGGUCCCUGCUCGGCCUGCGGGCUUGGGCAUUCUCGCGCCGCUCCUCCUCCAUGCCCGCGCGCGUGUGUGAAGUGGGCGAACCCACGGUCCCGGGUGCUGGGAGUCCGUCUAACUCAUUCUCCAAGCAAAUUGGCAGGAGAGACUAUAGCAGAGAAACAGGACAAGUCUACGCUGGACUUCAUACACAGUACAUAUGGAAAGCCUGACCAGACGUGCAAAGAGCGCGGGUUUGAGAGUCGGAGACUGUUGUGGCGUGCAUCCUGUGGUUCCACAUGCCUAAAGUAGGGAGCCUCCUCCCUGUCUCUCUGGGUGUCGAGGAGGAUCCUGUCAAAUAACUGAUACGAUCUAUUAAAGUGUCUUUCCUAUCA